rnacentral:rRNA from 1 species
AACGAACGCUGGCGGCAUGCCUAACACAUGCAAGUCGAACGAGACCUCCGGGUCUAUUGGCGCACGGGUGCGUAACGCGUGGGAACUUGCCCUUAGGUUCGGAAUACCUCCCCGAAAGGGGUGUUAAUACCGGAUAAUGUCUUCGGACCAAAGAUUUCUCGCGUUUGGAUGGGCCCGCGUUGGAUUAGCGGGUUGGUAGGGUAAAAGCCUGUCAAGGCGGGGAUCCAUAGCUGGUCUGAGAGGAGGAUCAGCCACACUGGAGCUGAGACACGGACCAGACUGCGACGCGAGGGAGCAGAGGGGUAUAUUGGGCAAGGAGGGAAGGUGUGACACAGCAACGCCGGGUGAGAGGUGAAGGGCGUAGGGUUGUAAAGCUCUUUUACCCGAGGUGAUAAUGACAGUACCGGGAGAAUAAGCUCCGGCUAACUCCGUG